rnacentral:rRNA from 1 species
UACGAAGGGGGCUAGCGUUGCUCGGAAUCACUGGGCGUAAAGCGCACGUAGGCGGAUCUUUAAGUCAGGGGUGAAAUCCUGGAGCUCAACUCCAGAACUGCCUUUGAUACUGGGGAUCUCGAGUCCGGGAGAGGUGAGUGGAACUGCGAGUGUAGAGGUGAAAUUCGUAGAUAUUCGCAAGAACACCAGUGGCGAAUGCGGCUCACUGGCCCGGUACUGACGCUGAGGUGCGAAAGCGUGGGGAGCAAACAGG